CACAGAAAGAGGCUGGUGGACGAACCACCGACCGUCGGUCGGUCGGUCGGUCGGUGUGGAGCAACCCGACUUGUAGCAUUCCACUGAACUAGCUAGCUAACAGAGCUUCCUGGAACUGUGUGACGUUCACGUGAGUCACGUGACGAUCAAAGCGCUCGGGAAGCUGCUCUGUCUGAACGGCUCCGGAUGUCUCCGCUGGGCACUUGUGACCGGUCACAGAGGGUCGACUGGAUUAGUGAGUGUGACUGAUCAGCUUGUUUUGCCUGAUUUGCCGAAGUGCUUCGAUGCAGAAGGCGGAAAUACCUGUCAUGGGUGUCAGAGUUUGUUUCCAGAUAUAUACACAAGAGUUCAAAAUUAAAGAACCCAGCUGGCGCCGUAUUGAGGAUAGCGACCCUUGACCACACCAUUUACAGAGGUAAGGACGACGAGGUGAACGGGUGGGGAAAAUUCUACCUUCCUUAUACAGUAAACA